AAAGUCGUAACAAGGUCUCCGUUGGUGAACCAGCGGAGGGAUCAUUACCGAGUUUACAACUCCCAAACCCCUGUGAACAUACCUUAUGUUGCCUCGGCGGAUCAGCCCGCGCCCCCGUAAAACGGGACGGCCCGCCGCAGGAACCCCAAACUCUGUUUUUAGUGGAACUUCUGAGUAUAAAAAACAAAUAAAUCAAAACUUUCAACAACGGAUCUCUUGGUUCUG
rnacentral:misc_RNA from 1 species